rnacentral:lncRNA from 1 species
AUAUUGCCGAAACUUCAGCAGACGAAACAUCUAAUUCUCAUUGCCGUAAAUUCUACCUUACGAGAUAUAUACUUACUUGUUUUGCGGCAAAAUGUUAUAAUUUUAUUCAUCUGAGGAUUUUUUUUAUGGAUAGGGAUUUAAGGAAUUUUGGGUGAAAAUCAAUCUAAUCGUUUUAAAUUAAUUAAGUAUUUAUAGUAAACAACAUUUUUGUUUAUUUUAUAGCUCUGUUUACUGUUUUGAAGGAAAUUUAUAUCAGUCUGUAACAAAUGAUAUCUAUAUCCUUAGAAAAUCUAGGAUGAAACUAAAAUCGUAAGGGAAACACUGCUUCCGCCUUCCGAAUUCCGGUUUCAGGUUUUGGCGUUUACUGUCAGUGUCACUUUCAACUAAAGAGAAUACAAAUACUACGCAAGACUUUCAACUUUAAUUUACCAAUUCGUACAUCUCAUAUAAAAAUUUAAUAAUAUUUAUAUCUGUUUGAAGAAGCUAGGAAAACAAAUGUUAUGUCCUAAUAAAUUAUACGUAAACAACUAAAAAAUAAAUAACACCUUAUACCAUCGGCUUCAAAGUAGUAAGAAAAUCGGAAGAUUGACUGCGAUGCGGAAUUAACUGUAAUUGGGAGGACAAAUCUUGUGUGAACAAUGUUGGGCGCUAGUUUGUUGGACAUGGUCAUCACAACAGCCUGUGUGCUAGUGUCCAUGAUUAUAUUAAGCUGCUUGUGCUGUUUAUGCAUGAAGUUCAGCGACUUGAAACUGAAAUAUUACGUUGUCGAAAUGGCAAAGAAGAAAGGUAUCAAAGUUGAUCUCGAUGAACUGGAGAGAAAACCACCAGACUGCCAAUCACCACUAGCUAAUGAAUCAUGCACCAUCAUGGUUCCAGAUGUGGGUAUCAUACUGUAGUUCAUUCAGUGGCAUUAUUUCUUAUUAGCCCUCGUCAGAGAAGAUUAUGACAUUAGCAAAGGCUAAUUGUAAAAAUCAUGCGCAUGCUUUGUGAUGGAAAACAGCAGAAUUUGGUGUUGACGAUAUGAUUUAUUGUGAUAUUGAUGUCAAUGGAUAAUGGUUGGAGUUCAGUAAUAAUUUUGUGCCAUAUGUAAUUACACUACUGCCAGAUUGGUCUAUUAAUUGGUUCAUUGCCACCUGGAGUGGUUUUUUUAUAAUUGGAAUUGUACAUUCGACCCUUUCCAUUUUUCAGGAGCUGGUCUCUUUGUAACUAUAAGAAUUAUACUUAGAAAUGUAAUAUAAUCAUAUAUAUUUAAAAAAAAAGUUCUAUAUUUUCUAUAAUCUAAGUCAUACUUAUUUUGACUGCUUCAGCUUUUGUGGGAUAUCUAAAAAUAUAUUUAUAGGAAUAAUGGAAAUUAGUAAAAUGUACUCUCUCUUAAUGUAUUAUGUAAGUGCUUCAAUUUUUAAAAACUUUGCCGCAGUAAAUAAAUUUGUGGUUUAGCCUGUACUUACAUACUUCCAUAUACAAAUACAAGUAGUCAGUAGAAUGUAGAAUUUGUUUUCAAAGCUGCAGUGAUGCUAGAUUUCAAAUUAAAACACCUAGGAUACUGAUCUCAUAGCAGAAUCUCAGGAAUUUGGUUGACUGAUUUUCAAUUCAGAUUGUUGUUAAUUACCUAUAAGUAUUAUAGUUUUGGAGGACUACCUUCUAUAAUUUUUCUCAUAAGGAUUCAUAAUGGGCAGAACUGAUAUUGUUACAAUACCUUUUAUUCAAGACAUCAUACCUGGAUGUACUUGAUCUUGUUAGUGCUGUAUCACACUGAAAAGCAUUGUGGCUACUUAAUUUAAUGGGGCCCUUCCUAACAUAAAUUAUCUGUAGCCAUAUGUAUUGAUUAUUCCAGUGAUCUGUUCUGAGGUCUGAAUACACGAAAAAACUUCUCAAAAUUUUAGGACCUCUUGAUGUCGAGGGCCUGUACUUUUUCUCAAUCAUUUCAUCCUUUUGUUAAGCCACAGGAAUUGGUAGAAAUGCCAACGUAUCUUAUGACAAUAUAUGAUUCGGAGUCUAAUGUUUUUUUUCGUGUUUAAAUGGAAAAUGUGGAAUUAAACAAUGUGUCUUACCAUUUACUAUUGCAAUUUGAAACUAUAAUAUGUUUUAGCUUUAAGUAAUCUCUUGCCAAUUUGUAGAUUAUGAUAUAUUGCGUUUAUAAUAUUAAUCAGUUAUAAAUCUUUAUAAAUAUUUAAGAAAUCAGAACUUAAUAUCAUCAUGUUAUGAACACAAUGUAGCGUAGAAAAUUUAUGCUAAUUGAUUUUAAUAAGAAAAAAUUUAUAAAUACCAGUUUAAUCUAUAAAAAUUCAAUUUGUUUUGCUAAAAAAUUAAUAGUAGUGCAACUCCAUAUUUUUUUUUAAAUCGUGCAAAUAUUUAUUUAAAUCCAGAUAAUUUUUAAAGUUCCUAUAUUUAAAAUAAUGCCUUAGAUGUUUGAUAGAACUCAAAACUUCUUAUAGAAUGUAGUGUUGCUAAUAUUAUCAAUUAUAUGUACGCUUAGGAACCCUUAGAGAUCUAGUUUACUGUGAGGUUCGAUAUGAAUGCUUGUUAUUGUAAAUUGAAAUGUAUUAUUAUUAUAUUUUAAGGCUUUUUUAGUAGAAGUAGGUUUUGAAGCUUUUCUUUCUUUGUUCAGGCUGGGUCUUGAACUUGGUUAAUGUGUGAGAUGGGGUAUAUUUCAAAUGGCUUGGAAUACCUGUAAAAUGUUAUUAGCAUUAAUAAACAUACCAUGACAAGCAAUAUAGUUAAUAAUUCAACCUAAUCUAUAAUCUAAGUAUACAAUCAUAAAUACCAUAGUGUAAUAAUAUGUCUGAUACUUUACAAUAACAUUUUUAUCUACAGUAGUAUUAUAAGCUGGAGAUUGUUUGAAUGGGCUAAUAAUCUCAGAAAGUACUAAACCGAUUUUGAUUUUUUUACUAAUACGAAGCUACAUUGCCCCUGAGUGAAAUUUUCACGCGAGCGGAGUAGACAAAGGCUAGUUAUAUAUUGUUUAUUACGAACUAUUUUGAGAUCUUAAGAAGAAAUCAGUAUAUUUAUAAUGCAACAAUAUAUUCUAUAUUUCUCAAUAUCAACUCAGAAAAUAAACAAUACGAACGCACAAACUUCAUGAAAUAGACUAAUAAUAGAAUACAUAUUUUAUAAUAUACAUAUUUUUGUAGUUUAUGCAUGGUCGUUUACAAGAUAUAAUAUGAUUCUUAAAAUAUUUAAUUCCAACUUUUACUAAUAGUCAAAUGCUUUUAUGUAAACAAAAUGAAGGGUAAAGAGUAAAGCCGGUUGGUGAUCAAGAAUAAAGCUGAAUUCGUUUAGAUCGCAAUUCGCAUGGCUGAAAAACCACAUAUACCUAAGUUGGUUUGCAUAGUUUCAAAGUUCUCAAGUAUGGAAAGAUUUCUCAGCUAUGCAAGCCAAGGUAAAUUAAUUUAGCUUUAUUUUUGGUCGCGACUGACAUUAAUCUACAGGAGUGAAUAUUUAGAAGUUUACUCGACAUAAGUUGACUGAUAAGCCCAAUGGUCGUAAUUAAAAGAGUAAUAUGUUGAGACAUUUCCCUUAAAUAUUUCCACUUCUAAAAUAUCGAUGACUCCUAAGUAAACUAUCGUAUCUGGAAACAUUGCGAUAUUUACUUUUUUAAUAUUUCAAAGUUAAUAAACAAAAAAAAUCUUAAUAAUCUUUAUUUACUAACUUUUUUUAAUAGGUUUGGUAGUAAAUAGAACCAAGAUACAACCUUAAAAAUGUGAAUGUCGCAAUUCUUUCAGUUACGAUAGUUUACUUAGGAGCCAUCGAUAUAAGGAAUUACCGUAUUUUUUGUAUUAGUCUCUGUAAUGUAUGUGAAGGGCUUGGGUCAGACCGAUAUAAUUCUUAAAAUACCUGAUUUAUGUACCAUUGUAUACUUUACGUUUUAAUCACAUGAUGCCUGAUCAUUUGGCGAAUUAUGUGCGUAAUCAUGACUAACCACAUUGUGAUUAGUGUAAGCAAAACGUAUAUGAGCUGCAUUGCUAUUUGCCACUCAUACCUGUGUCACAGGAUACACGGUUCUAUAGUAUACAUAGCAAGGUUUACCGUGUAUGCAAUCAUGGCAAGGUGACUUUUGCAUAUUGAAGCUUGCAGGACUUGCGGCAAGUCGUAUGUGUAUAGAACUAUUGUAAUGUGACCGCUAUUGUAAACUUUAACGUAAGUUCUUGCGCAAUAUAUUGCUACAAUAACUUGUAAUAAUAAUCUGAGCAUAACAUUAAAAACAAUAUUAACCCACCAAUCACAAUAUGAGAACCAUCUGACCUCAGCCCAAUACAACGAUCCAAAAUUGUGUUCAGAUUAUAUUUAUUAAAAAAUCUCGCUAUUGGAAUUAAUUUACUAUUACCUCAAGAAAAAAAAAUCCUAAGCUAUUUAGCUAAUUGACAAUUUUGAUAAGAAUAAAAUAAGUAAGAUCAGAUGGCCUUAUUUUGUUAUAGGGGUAUAUCCGUCUUUUUGCAAUUACGGGCGCUCUAUUCGAAGGACAGCUUCGAUAGCCGUAUAGGUUAGAAAGUAAAAAAAUCCCCUAUUUACCUAUACGGCUAUCAAAGCUCUCCUUCGAAUAGAAUGCUCGUAAUAGCAAAAAGACGAAUAUGCUCCUGUAGACGGAAUAGAGUUCCCUGACCGUAAUUAAAAACAAUAUUUUCAAAACUUUGUCUAUAAAGUCUUUAAUAUAUUCCUUUUGCUUAUAAUUAUUAGAUGGAAUUAUUAUUAUUUUUUUCAUUUAUAAUAUUUAAGUUGAAGUGAUGUUCAAAGGUGUAUUCUAUUUACAAUUGAAAUAUGGCAACUGUGUUGCCGAAAAUCACAUUAUCAUAUGUAUCGUCGUCUAAGAGUGCUGGUCUGCUAACUCUAUAGUAGAUAAUUUGUAAAAGAAUUAACAUCUUAUUACUUAAAAAUGAAGAUCCCGUUGGCAGAUA